GCAUUGCUGAGGAAUCCCACAACAGGACGAAACGGCCGUCCAGUUC
rnacentral:hammerhead_ribozyme from 1 species